GACGAACGCUGGCGGCGUGCUUAACACAUGCAAGUCGAACGGAAAGGCCCUGCUUUUGUUGGGUGCUCGAGUGGCGAACGGGUGAGUAACACGUGAGUAACCUGCCCUUUACUUUGGGAUAACUUCAGGAAACUGGGGCUAAUACCGGAUAGGAGCUCCUGCUGCAUGGUGGGGGUUGGAAAGUUUCGGCGGUUGGGGAUGGACUCGCGGCUUAUCAGCUUGUUGGUGGGGUAGUGGCUUACCAAGGCUUUGACGGGUAGCCGGCCUGAGAGGGUGACCGGCAAAAUUGGGACUGAGAUACGGCCAAGACUCCUACGGGAGGAAGAAGUGGGGAAUAUUGCAAAAUGGGCGGAAGCCUGAUGCAGCAACGCCGCGUGCGGGAUGACGGCCUUCGGGUUGUAAACCGCUUUCGCCUGUGACGAAGCGUGAGUGACGGUAAUGGGUAAAGAAGCACCGGCUAACUACGUG
rnacentral:rRNA from 1 species